rnacentral:lncRNA from 1 species
UAGUCAAUAAUGUAAUGCAAUAAUUAUAUGCUAAUAAUAGUAAUAUUUACUUAAGUAGAGUUAUUAUGCUAUCUGAAAUAUAGAGGACCUGACAUUUUCGAUUUUUUAGCCCUUAAAUCAACUUCUUUGAUAAUUUCUAAUUUUUAGAAUAAUAUUAUUAUCCUAUGGGGAUCAUUCAAUUCUAGAGAAGGCCGCAAUCAUCCUAAUUGUAUAAUUUUUUUAUCUAAAGGUUAAAAAGUCAAAAAUAAUAAAUCAUAUAUGCUUCCGAUAGCUUAGUAGCUCUACACAUAUUUACUUUGUUAAUUAACAAAUCACAAGACAAAUUUAGUCU